UUUCAGUAAAAGGUGACUUGGUUAUUUUAUCAAGAAGACAGGACUCACAGGUUGGAAGUGAUUCACAAUCACUGACUUCGAGGAUUCCCUCUUGAGUCAACCUGUUUAUUCUGUUCUUGUUUAUAUGACCUAGCCUACAGUGCCAUAAGUAGAUAUCUGACACACUAUCUAAUCUAGGGUGCUUGUCAGUAGAAUAGACUCUUAUCGGGCUUGAUCUUUCUGGUCUGGCCCUACACUGAUGUCCCAGCC
rnacentral:lncRNA from 1 species